UUAUAAUCCCCCCCCCCCCUUUUUUUUGCCUUCUAACUCAAAACCGUGUCGAUAUGUGUGGCGCGUUGGACGCGACUUCGUGUGCGGGGCGUUAUACAUUUUAUCUGCAGAUUCAUAAAAAAUGUUGACAAAUACUUGUCGGUUAUGAUUAGUCUUUAAAACCAGGUAUUUGCUACUUACUUUGUGUCUUCCGAGCUCAUCAUCAACCGGCUUUCGACCGUCCUAUCCGGAAGAAAAUCCAGACCACUGUAUGCCGAAGUCAUGUUAACGAGCUACGGUACAAGCCAACACGCCGUCGUCUUUCAACAAUGAAAGUAACGGCUUUGAGAUUCAACUGCUGCGCGACCACAAAACGGAGCCAGGGAGAGGGGGGGCCUUCUACUCUAAGCAGCAGAAUGCGAGUACUAAGUCAUCAGAAGCGAUUGACAUUCGUCUUCUGCAUCCCCCAGCUAAUUUCUCCUCCAAUCGCCAAAUUGAAAAAGAAACUACAGGCGAGCUGUCAACUGCAGGGUGAGCAAGAGAGAGAGGCGUGACUACUUCUGUUCCCUGUCAAGGAGAUGCAACUUUCCCGAUCCCUGUGGACCAAUACAUCAGUAUUGUGUAUUCACAAUACAUUGGUUUUGAGUCAUGUAAUAUAAGAAUGUAAAUGUAUUUAUUCACAUUUGAUUUGAUGAUAACUUCAAUCAACAGGAUCAAUAUGCAAGUUUUUGAAGAUGACUGAAGGGGGUGGAUUUUGGGCAGGGGGAGAUUUUCCCCCAGAUCACAAGAUAGCUUGUAUCUCUUUUCCUUUCAGUGAAAAACAUACACAUCACAAAUCUACUCUAACCCACCAUGGCAUGAGAAUGAAUAGUUCAACUGAAAACAAUGAAUUGGUCCUAUAACAAUAUCCGUUAUUCACCACCACAGGGACAAAUAAUCAUUAUAAACACUGGCUAAAGCCCCAACCCCAACCACAACAAAAGCCAGCCAGGCUAGAUCUGACUCAUUCAUUCUGAAUGAGGGGCCAACCCAACAUCAAGGACAAUGUACCUCAGAGAUCCUAGGUCCUCAUUCCUGACGGGGACACCGGCGGCGGAGGCAGAGGGGGGACAGCGCAUGCCGUUGACGUAUAUGCUCUGCACCAGGGCUAGCUCCGACGAGUGUUCCAACAUCGCACGGUACUCUUCCAGAAAAAUCCACCUUCUUAUGUGUGUUAAAUGGACACUUCUCUUCUUCUCACUAUUUCUCCCUCUCGCCUCUCUAUCUGGGUAGCUUUUUUCUCUCUCUCUAUUUCUCUCUCUCUAGUUCUCUCUGUUUUUUACUCCCGCCCCUCUCUUUCUCUCCUCAGAUUUAGUGCAGUCGAGCGGCACACACCCCUUUUGCUGACUGGCGUAGCUGAAAUAAUCCUUUUUGACAGCUCAUCGUGGGCUAAUGCAUUGUGCAGCCCGCGGCAGACCGGUUCGCAGGCUGCAAAGCUGCGGCCACAGUAGUACUCUUCCUCUAAUUGACACCCAUAUUAGGAAGAGUCCAGGAAAUUGGACACGGGUGAUUUAUUCCUACUGUCAGACUGGGCAGACUGGGAUGCAUGGGGAAACGUCUGCAAAGUUUGCCAGUGGAUCUCUGGAUCUGUUUCUUUCUCAGGUCCUGGGAUUGAGUGGGUUGUGGUAUGAUCCCUGUUUCAAUGUUUUGCAUGUAUUUGAAUGCUUGGAUACAGGAGAAAUACAGGCCAAAUGUAGGUCGAUACCAGGUGUUGUUGUUACAAAGGAAAUACUGUACAUACAGGCUAAACCUCAGGUACUGCACUUGUGGCAGGAAUCAUAGUGUGUUCCAACCAAAGUCUGUGUCAAGCAGGGGAAUCAAUCCAACAAGCAAAGCACCACGCCCUUUUUAGAACAGAUGCAUGAAUUUGUAUGUAAAAAACUGGAUUCUGAAGUGUCAAAUUUCAAAUGUUGAAAUUAUUUAAAUGUUCUAACAACUCCAUCUACUAACUCUGCAGUUACAUGCAGAUCUUUUGGUCGAGAUUUCAUCCCUGAAAACGCCAAAUAUUUAACACUAGGAAACAUUUAUUGGGGCACGGCUUUUAUCCAAAACCCUUAUCCAGUCCAGUCAUACCAUCACUUUCUGAAUAAUCUUCUUUUGGACAGGAGGAUGCGCAUAUGUCACAUUCUUCACAUUCCCUGGACUGACUGAUGAUAAACCAGAGGAUGAGAAGAGGGAGGGGAGAGGGGUACAGGGAGCGACAGAGGAGAGACACAGAGAGGGGGUGAUGGAGACCUUUGUGAGAGGGGGAGACAGAGCCAACCCUGUCUACCUCUGUACCCUCCCUCCAACUACAGUACAGUAUGUUGUCAUUAUUACACUGGUGCAGAGGUGGAUAGCAUAGCUUGCUGUAUGUUUAGUCAGUAAGAAGAAAUUCUGGUAAGCAUGGCUAUCUUUUAAUAAAGGAAGGAUUACGCUAGUCUCCUCUCUGAUGGCAUUUUGUUUGCAUGUUGAGCCUAACAUGAACAGAAAUCUCUCUGCAACACUUUGCUAUAUGAAAUAUAGCCCCAUUUUACGUUCCAAAUGGCACCCUCUUCCCAUAUAGUGCACUACUUUUGAUCAGAGCCCUAUAGGCCCUGGUCAAAAGUAGUGCACUAGAAAUGGAAUAGGGUGCCAUUUGGGAUAAACUCAUUAUCAUAUCCCAUGGCAGUGUAGCAUAUUAGUUGUUUGACCAUGUCAAAUACUAGUGUGGUCAGUUGUCAUAUCUGUUUGUAGUAUAGCCAACGGUUCUUCUAACGUGCGUCUAUUGUCUUGUUUGGCAUGACAACACACGGUAGAGACGUUGGCUAUAGCACAAACAGUUCUGGUAACUAGGCCAGUCAAAUGCAUUCUCAACUACUUCACAUAAGACACACACACACACACACACUUGAAGGGCAGUUUUACAUAAAGUGUUGUCACAGACCCUGGAGCCAUUGGCCACCAUCAACUGACAACAGGAACCAAAACAUGAAGAGGCAUACCCUUAUGUCGUUUCAAAUUACUGCCCUAAUUUGCAUAGCUUAUACACCUACAAUAGAGUUACCAAAAUUAAAAGUAUGGCAUGCAGUGAGAUAAUUUCCUGUUUAUAACUUUAUGUAGUUUAAAACUACUGCUUUAGUACCAUAAUUUGCAUGGCAACUCAUCAUAGUCCAUCCAAACUACACCACAGUGCUGUCAAAGUGAAGAGUAUGGCAGGAGUACAGUAGGCAGAGGAAAUAAACUAGAAAAUAUUUCACUAUGGCAUGCUGCCAUAUGACUUCCUGUUGAUGCGUAUAGUUCCUCUUUUUAUUCCAGGUACAUAAAGAAACAACCUAGUGUUUCAGUCUUACAACUUUAAGAUGAGAUUUGCUCUGUAAUACCCUUCUCGGACUCUGAGAGCCCAGGAGAAAAUAAAUCUAGGCCUCCGACCCCCAUAGGCGUUCUCUCUUGCUCUCUCUCUCUUUCUCAUUCUCUCUCUCUGACUUUAAGUAGGAAAGUCAUUUGAAACAGGGUCAUGUAUGCUGUGCAGUAUAUGUGGGUGUGUGUGCUGCAUGUGUGCCGAGCGGGUAUCAUAGGGGAUAAGACUGACAUGGUGAAUGGGAUCCUCUGAUCUGAGCGUAAAUCCCUCUGGUUUCAGCCUUGCUCUUUCUUGCACACUUAGUUUCCGCUGACAUAAAUAUUUUAACGCUGAUGUUGAAACCCUAGCUAGUCUUUGUGAUGUGUUGCUGCACCAUAUAAAGCAGAGAGCAACUAAAGUUAUUGUGUUCUUGCACUAAGUGAACUUACAGUAUCUCCUGAAAUACCUCUGAUCCAAGUGAUACAUUCAACAGUAGGCUUGAUUCUAAUGGACGAAAAUUGAUUUUGAAAGUGAAGCUGUAUCUAUUACAGAAACAUUGAAGUUAAAUUAUUCAGGAACUAACAUCCAUUUCAAACAAAACACUUUCCAGAAGGUGAAUAGAAUCUGAAAGGGAAGACUACACAUCUGUAAACCAACCACAUGUGCUAGGCUACUGAAAGACACGUGAAAGGGUUUGAGACCUCUUGUCUGUCAGUCUCUCUCUCACUCUUUCGUUCUCACUCACGUGCUGCCCAUGACCCAAAGUGACAGUCGGUUUGUCUGGUGACUCAAUGUUCACUAGCACUGCAGAAAGACUUUUAUGAAACCGGAAAACAACUACCAGCAUCUUUCUACGGUCAGAAUGUGAAACUGCUGUCUGUCUGUCUUGUUUUGUUGAAACCUCCAUGCAUUCUUUUGUGAAAAUGAAACCUCCAUCCAUAGGCUUUGGUUCUGGGUGUUGGAGGUGUCUGAUAGCUUUCAUUGUGUAAUCUCAAAUCAAAUUGCAUUGGUCACAUAAACAUAUUUAGCAGAUGUUAUUGCUGGUGUAGCGAAAUGCUUGUGUUCCUAGCUCCAACAGUGCAGUAGUAUCUAAUAGUGCAGUAGAAUCAAAAAAUUAUUCACAAUACACACACAUCUAAAAGAAUGGAAAUGGGUUGGCGCCCCCCCUUGGGUUGUGCCGUGGCGGAGAUCUUUGUGGGCUAUACUCUGCCUUGUCUCAGGAUUAUAUCCUGCCUGUUUGGCCCUGUCCGGGGGUAUCAUCGGAUGGGGCCACAGUGUCUCCUGUCUCAGCCUCCAGUAUUUAUGCUGCAGUAGUUUGUGUUGGGGGCUAGGGUUAGUCUGUUAUAUCUGGAGUAUUUCUCCUGUCCUAUCCGGUGUCCUGUGUGAAUUUAAGUAUGCUCUCUCUAAUUCUCUAAUCUCUUUCUUUCUCGGAGGACCUGAGUCCUAGGACCAUGCCUCAGGACUACCUGACAUGAUGGCUCCUUGCUGUCCCCAGUCCACCUGGCUGUGCUGCUGCUCCAGUUUCAACUGUUCUGCCUGCGGCUAUGGAACACUGACCUGUUCACCGGACGUGCUACCUGUCUCAGACCUGCUGUUUUCAACUCUCUAGAGACAGCAGGAGUGGUAGAGAUACUCUCAAUGAUCGGCUAUGAAAAGCCAACUGACAUUUACUCCUGAGGUGCUGACUUGUUGCACCCUCGACAACUACUGUGAUUAUUAUUAUUUGACCAUGCUGGUCAUUUAUGAACAUUUGAACAUCUUGGCCAUGUUCUGUUAUAAUCUCCACCCGGCACAGCCAGAAGAGGAUUGGCCACCCCUCAUAGCCUGGUUCCUCUCUAGGUUUCUUCCUAGGUUUUGGCCUUUCUAGGUUGUUUUUCCUAGCCACCAUGCUUUUACACCUGCAUUGCUUGCUGUUUGGGGUUUUAGGCUGGGUUUCUGUACAGCACUUUGAUAUAUCAGCUGAUGUGAGAAGGGUUAUAUAAAUUUGAUUUGAUGAGAAAUAUUUGCAUAUUGGAUCAAGCAAUGUCGGAGUGGCAUUGACUAAAAUACAGUAGAAUAGAAUACAGUAUAUACAUAUGAGUUGAGUAAAGUAGUUUGUAAACAUAUUUAAAGUGACUAGUGUUCCAUUAUUAAAGUGGCCAGUGAUUUCAAGUCUAUCUAUAUAGGGCAGCAGACUAAGGUGCAGGGUUGGGUAACCGGGUGGAAGCCGACUAGUUAUGGCUAUUUACCAGUCUGAUGGCCUUAAGAUAGAAGCUGUUUUUCAGUCUCUCGGUCCCAGCUUUGAUACACCUGUACUGACCUCGCCAUCUGGUUGAUAGCAUGAUGAACAGGCUGUUGCUCGGGUGGUUGAUGUCCUUGAUGAUCCUUCCUGAGACAUAGGUGUCCUGCUGUAGGUGUCCUGGAGGGCAGAUAGUUUGCCCCCGGUGAUGCAUUAGGCAGACCGCACCACCCUCUGGAGAGCCCUGCGGUUGCGGGCGGUGCAGUUGCCGUACCAGGCGGUAGGAUGCUCUCAAUUGUGCAUCUGUAGAAAUUUGUGAGGGUUUUAAGAGCCAAGCCAAAUUUCUUCAGCCUCCUGGGAUUGAAGAGGAGAGAGAGAGAGAGGAGAGGGGGGGUGGGAGAAAUCUUAACCACCCAGCACCAUAAGAGAAAUUUGGCUAAGAUUAUCAACAGGACUAGGCAGUCAUGGUCAUCACGAGAGGAGGAGAUCAUGUACCGGUCUACUGUCUCAUAUAUCACACCAGAGAGGAUACAGUUUGCUUGUAAAAAAGGAUUUGCACGACAUCUACAUUAUUACUACAUUAGCAGGGAAGAGCUUGUAUAAGUCCAGUUUAAUUUCAAAUGCCAAACUUGUGCACAAAAUGUUUGCUUGCACUUAACUCUGUACAUAUAAUGCUGCAUGGCCUUUUAUGAGUAUGUAUGAGCCUACCACACUUUCUUACAAAGGCUGUUGUAUAAACUUUGUUACAUAUUGAAAUAUUUGUGUAAUGUUGAAUGAAUGCAUUGUGUUGCAUAACCUGAUAAAGCUAGCAGAGAGCCAUGAAA